rnacentral:rRNA from 1 species
UACGUAGGGUGCGAGCGUUAAUCGGAAUACUGGGCGUAAAGCGUGCGCAGGCGGUUUGCUAAGACCGAUGUGAAAUCCCCCGGGCUUAACCUGGGAACUGCAUUGGUGACUGGCAGGCUAGAGUAUGGCAGAGGGGGGUAGAAUUCCACGUGUAGCAGUGAAAUGCGUAGAGAUGUGGAGGAAUACCGAUGGCGAAGGCAGCCCCCUGGGCCAAUACUGACGCUCAUGCACGAAAGCGUGGGGAGCAAACAGG